UGUGUGUGUGUACACAUGUGUGUGUGUAUGUGUGUGCACGCAUGCACACACACACACACACACACACACACACC
rnacentral:miRNA from 1 species